rnacentral:rRNA from 1 species
UACGGAGGGUGCGAGCGUUAUUCGGAAUUACUGGGCGUAAAGAGCUCGUAGGCGGUUUAAUAAGUCUGAUGUGAAAGCCCUGGACUCAAUCUAGGAAGUGCAUUGGAUACUGUUAGACUCGAGUAUAGGAGAGGUGAGUGGAAUUCCUGGUGUAGAGGUGAAAUUCGUAGAUAUCAGGAGGAACAACGGUGGCGAAGGCGACUCACUGGACUAUUACUGACGCUGAGGAGCGAAAGCGUGGGGAGCAAACAGG